rnacentral:rRNA from 1 species
AGUGAACGCUGGCGGUAGGCCUAACACAUGCAAGUCGAAUGGCAGCACAGGAGAGCUUGCUCUCUGGGUGGCGAGUGGCGGACGGGUGAGGAAUACAUCGGAAUCUACUCUGUCGUGGGGGAUAACGUAGGGAAACUUACGCUAAUACCGCAUACGACCUACGGGUGAAAGCAGGGGACCUUCGGGCCUUGCACGAUUGAAUGAGCCGAUGUCGGAUUAGCUAGUUGGCGGGGUAAAGGCCCACCAAGGCGACGAUCCGUAGCUGGUCUGAGAGGAUGAUCAGCCACACUGGAACUGAGACACGGUCCAGACUCCUACGGGAGGCAGCAGUGGGGAAUAUUGGACAAUGGGCGCGAGCCUGAUCCAGCCAUACCGCGUGGGUGAAGAAGGCCUUCGGGUUGUAAAGCCCUUUUGUUGGGAAAGAAAUCCAGCUGGCUAAUACCCGGUUGGGAUGACGGUACCCAAAGAAUAAGCACCGGCUAACUUCGUGCCAGCCGCCGCGGUAA